rnacentral:rRNA from 1 species
GAACUGCGCAAACGUUAUUCGGAAUCACUGGGCUUAAAGAGUCCGUAGGCGGCUCGGCAGGUGAGGUGUGAAAUCCCACGGCUCAACCGUGGAAUUGCGCUUCAAACCGCCGGGCUAGAGGGAGAUAGAGGAGAGCGGAACUGAUGGUGGAGCGGUGAAAUGCGUUGAUAUCAUCAGGAACACCGGUGGCGAAAGCGGCUCUCUGGGUCUCUUCUGACGCUGAGGGACGAAAGCUAGGGGGAGCGAACGGGAUUAGAUACCCCGGUAGUCCUAGCUGUAAACGAUGAGCACUAGAUCGAGGGGACUCCCACAUCCUCUUGGUCGGAGCGAAAGUGUUAAGUGCUCCGCCUGGGAGUAUGGUCGCAAGGCUG